rnacentral:miRNA from 1 species
UAUCCAAUAAUGUAUUAAUAU